GGAUAGAGAGCUGGCUGGCAGGGUGCUUGGUCGGAUGUCGGAUGUUUGCCUGCUAGCUCGAGUUGCUGGUCGGUUGUGGGUUAAUUUUCGAGAAGGCAUGCCUUUUGUGAUGUUUAGGCCGGGCAUCGCGGCCACGUUGCGUAGGAUCUCGAACCUAGACAAGCGCAACGUGGUUACCACCAUAUGGUGUCGUUCGCAUUGCGACGAAGACACCAGGUACCGGCCUAACAGGAAAUCCAAGCACCCGGACCCGACGAUUUGGAUCAAGACCCUGUCCCAGAACACCAACGUGCCAAUGAUUUGGAUCAUGACUCCGAUCCCAAAACACCGAGCAGCCGAGGAUUUGGAUCCUGACCCUGACCCAAAGCGAGAAGGAGCCGACGAUUUGGAUCAACACGCCGAUCCCAAGCACCAUGGAGCCGACGAUUUGGAUCAAGACCUACAUCCCAAGCACCAAGGUGCCUGGUUGAUAUGGAUCGCGAUCCCGAUCCGGAGCUCCAGGGCGCCGAGGAUUUCGAUCACGAUCCCGAUCUGAAGCACCGAGUAGCCGAGGAUAUGGUUCAAGACCCCGGUCCGAAGCGACAAGGAGGCAAGGAUUUGGAUCACCACUCCGAUCAAAGGCACCAAGGCGUCGAGGGAUUGGAUUGAGAUCCCAAUCAUGAAGUUGGCUACGUAAUUUCCUGUUUUCCACACCGUUCAGGGCAUUUUGGUGGUCGUAUCGGCUUUUAGUUGCUUGCUUGGUGUUAGUGCCAAGGGAGUGGUUGGAAGCUAGGUCGUCCUCUGGAAUGCUUGUUGUAAAGGUGUAUGAGUUGUGUUUGGCUUGUUACGGGUGUUUGUUGGCUGCUUGUGCAGGAACUUUCAUGCGUGCAAGCCUCUUCAGUUGUGCUACAAGGCCUUGUUUGUCUUGUGCAUACGGUGGGUUUCCUGUGUUGCAUACCUAAUCAAGGGCAUCGUAUGGCUUGAUCGAAGUAAAAAUUCGUAAUGCGCCGCUUGCGGCGUUGCACGAACCUCGAAGUGGUCUCUGUGGCCCACGUUGUCUUUGCUCACGUAUGGAUGGCAUGGCCCUCGGAGCGUCGCUUGGUCUCUUGGAUACGGAACCUGAUGAUGUGGGCGGUAGGGUCUUGGAUGAUUCUACCUUCGCCUUCCAUGAGCGUUCUCGCUUCUCUAAACGACCGUCUGUCAUGCGCCGGCAUGUCCGUGCAUGGUGGGCUUAGUCGAAGAGGAAUGCUAC
rnacentral:misc_RNA from 1 species